rnacentral:rRNA from 1 species
AUUGAACGCUGGCGGCAGGCCUAACACAUGCAAGUCGAACGAGUGGCGGACGGGUGAGUAAUGUCUGGGAAACUGACUGAUGGAGGGGGAUAACUACUGGAAACGGUAGCUAAUACCGCAUACCAUCAGAUGUGCCCAGAUGGGAUUAGCUAGUUGGUGGGGUAACGGCUCACCAAGGCGACGAUCCCUAGCUGGUCUGAGAGGAUGACCAGCCACACUGGAACUGAGACACGGUCCAGACUCCUACGGUAGGCGGCAGUGGGGAAUAUUGCACAAUGGGCGCGAGCCUGAUGCAGCCAUGCGGCGUGUAUGAAGAAGGCCGUCGGGUUGUAAAGUACGUUUUUCGCGGAGACAUUACCCGAAGAACAAGCACCGGCGAACUCCAUGCCAGCAGCCGCGGUAAUAC